AGUGAACGCUGGCGGUAGGCCUAACACAUGCAAGUCGAACGGCAGCACAGUAAGAGCUUGCUCUUACGGGUGGCGAGUGGCGGACGGGUGAGGAAUACAUCGGAAUCUACUUUUUCGUGGGGGAUAACGUAGGGAAACUUACGCUAAUACCGCAUACGACCUACGGGUGAAAGCAGGGGAUCUUCGGACCUUGCGCGAUUGAAUGAGCCGAUGUCGGAUUAGCUAGUUGGCGGGGUAAAGGCCCACCAAGGCGACGAUCCGUAGCUGGUCUGAGAGGAUGAUCAGCCACACUGGAGCUGAGACACGGUCCAGCCUCCUACGGGAGGCAGCGGUGGGGAAUAUUGGACAAUGGGCGCAAGCCUGAUCCAGCCAUACCGCGUGGGUGAAGAAGGCCUUCGGGUUGUAAAGCCCUUUUGUUGGGAAAGAAAAGCAGCAGGUUAAUACCCCGCUGUUCUGACGGUACCCAAAGAAUAAGCACCGGCUAACUCCGU
rnacentral:rRNA from 1 species